GACGAACGCUGGCGGCGUGCUUAACACAUGCAAGUCGAACGAAGUGGCGAACGGGUGAGUAACGCGUAAUCAACCUGCCCUUCAGAGGGGGACAACAGGUGGAAACGACUGCUAAUACCGCAUACUGAAGUAGGGACAUGCGUCUGAUUAGCUAGUUGGCGGGGUAACGGCCCACCAAGCCGAUGAUCAGUAGCCGGUCGGAGAGGAGGAACGGCCACAUUGUGACUGAGACACUGCCCAGACUCCUACGGGAGGCAGCAGUGGGGAAUCUGCCGCAAUGGACGAAAGUCUGACGGAGCAACGCAGCGUGAGUGAUGACGGCCUUCGGGUUGUAAAGCUCUGUUAAUCGGGACGCGGUACCGGAAUAGAAAGCCACGGCUAACUACGUGCCAGCAGCCGCGGUAAUUC
rnacentral:rRNA from 1 species